rnacentral:rRNA from 1 species
CUAAGUUUGAUGGCGACCGGCGCACGGGUGAGUAACACGUAUCCAACCUGCCGAUGACUCGGGGAUAGCCUUUCGAAAGAAAGAUUAAUACCCGAUGGCAUAGUUCUUCCGCAUGGUGGAACUAUUAAAGAAUUUCGGUCAUCGAUGGGGAUGCGUUCCAUUAGGUUGUUGGCGGGGUAACGGCCCACCAAGCCUUCGGUGGAUAGGGGUUCUGAGAGGAAGGUCCCCCACAUUGGAACUGAGACACGGUCCAAACUCCUACGGGAGGCAGCAUG